rnacentral:tRNA from 1 species
GCAAGGAUAGUUUAGUUGGAAGAGCAUCAAAUUAAAGAUUUGAAGGUCGUGUUCGAUUCGUGUUCUCA